GACGAACCCGUGCGAACGUUGUUCGGAAUCACUGGGCUUAAAGGGCGCGUAGGCGGCUUGCAAAGUCAGGGGUGAAAUCUUUCGGCUUAACCGGAAAAGUGCCUUUGAUACUGGCAAGCUUGAGGGAGGUAGGGGCAUGUGGAACUUCCGGUGGAGCGGUGAAAUGUGUCGAUAUCGGAAGGAACGCCGGUGGCGAAAGCGACGUGCUGGUCCUCUUCUGACGCUGAGGCGCGAAAGCUAGGGUAGCGAACGGGAUUAGAAACCCGGGUAGU
rnacentral:rRNA from 1 species